rnacentral:rRNA from 1 species
UGAAACAUCUAAGUACCCGGAGGAAAGGACAUCAAUUGAUACUCCCCUAGUAGCGGCGAGCGAACGGGGACCAGCCGAGCUGUGAGUGUGAAUAGAAUGGCAUGGAAUGGCCAACCAGAGUGGGUGACAGUCCCGUAUAUGAAGCAUGAUCAGACGUAUUAAGUAGGGCGGAACACGUGAAAUUCUGUCUGAAGAUCGGAGGACCACCUUCGAAGGCUAAGUACUCCUUACUGACCGAUAGCGAACCAGUACC